UGUACCCUAGUAGCUAUUUUUUAAAUGUAACUAGAAAAGCUAUGAAUUGACUAUGGCAAAAGUUUUUAUUAAUCUACUACUCAAAAGUCUAUGUGUUUUAAGUCUCCAUCUGGGAAAAAGAGACACUUAUUUCAAUGUUACCUUGAUUGAAAACUGAAUUAUGUAUACUGAUGGAGCUAAAGAAAAAAAUAAAAACCAUUUUACCAUAAGGUGUGCUGAAAGAAGUGGAAAUACCGUACCAAACUUACUAUUAAUAUAUAGUAAGAUGAUGGAUAACAGAUCAUCAGCAUCAUUCUAAAGAAUUAGAAAAGUAGUAACUGGAAGAUAUAAGGAAGCAGACUCUCUGAACCCAUACGAACCUGAACAGAAUUAUUAGGUGCUAUUUCCUCCUGAAUGUACAGUAAAAAGCCAUAAGGCUUGCACCUGUCACCACUAUGAUGAGAUUAGUUACUCUGCUUGGUGUAAGAUUUAAGUGUGGUGCUGAAUGCUGUUUCGCACCAGACAAUCAGAAUACAUUGCCUAGGAAAAGAAUAUGAAGUCUCCAUUGCCCCCCACCCUCCACCCGCCCCCAAGGAUUUGGGUCCCUGUAUUUUCUUUUUAGAAAGAUUUUUUUUUUAACAUGAAUCUCUAGGAACUCUGAUACGUUUCAUUGUACAUAGAUGUUUUACACAAAUUACAGGCGGCUUUGAUCCUUUAAGAUACAGCAAUGUAAGACAUUCAUUUUCUUAAAGAAAUUCUAGGCCUCGAAAUGGAAUUUAGUAACAGGAUCCUACUUGGGACCUCACACCACCAGAGCUGUCAGGCUCUUCCUUCUCUAUGAUUGGGAUGCAUGUAAUAACAAAAUGACAUAAGAACACAAGAACACCUUACCUUGUAAAAGACAAUUUUAACUAUUUCAAACCUGGAUAACUCUCAAUAAUUGCUGUUGUAAUGCUAGCUAUUUUAGUUUUUUCAAGAGACAUCUUCCACACAUGCCUUCUCCUCAGUAAAGAAGAUGAGGUAAUUCCAUGGAUUCACUACUAUUGUUAGAUAAGUUUUGGCUUCACAAACCCUGAUUGAUAUCAGGUGCAAUACCUAGGUAGAAGGAGGAUAUGAUGUAAUUACUCUUCUCCAAUAAUGACCUUAUGGUUGGAAAAUAGCUAAAUUGAGGGCAAAAUUAGUACCUAAAAUAUCACCACAAUGAUAGGUCAUUCCCAUUACUGAUCAGAAAAAAUGACCAGAAAGGUUCAAGAUUAUACUAAGACCUGCUACAUCUCAGUGAUCUUAAGGAAUACAAUUAACAGAAAAUUAACAGAAUUGAAGAGUUUUGAGGAACAGUAUCUAUUGUCAGAUCUACUCAAAUGCACACAGUUUACAAAAAGAAAUUCUUCAAGUGAGGAUUAUCUACCAGGAGCACCUGUAUUAUUCCCUGACUGGAAAAGUUAUUAUUAUGAUUUCAUCUAAUAUUACUCCAAUUCCUCACUACUGAUGUAAGAAAUAUUAGAGAAUGGCUGCUCUAAGACUCAUUGUAGAGUUUGUAGCAAAUACAGCCAGAAACAGUUGUGAUAAAUUUCAUUUCCUGAUGCAAAGCUGGAAGAAAAUGUCUUUAGCAAUAACAUCUCCAAUAAAAAGAUGCAAUGUGAAAUCUGCA